rnacentral:tRNA from 1 species
GCGGGCGAAGUGUUACUGGUUGCACGUGAGCCUUCCAAGCUCGAAGAACGGGUUCGAGUCCCGUCGCCCGCU